rnacentral:lncRNA from 1 species
UUGUGAGGUCAAAAGAGAAGCCGUUAGAGGAGGCCCAAGGAAAGACAUGGAGGGAAAGAGUGAGAGAAAAGAGAAUCUACCCAGACUCAGGAGGCAGAAGCAGGCAGAUCUUUAUGAGUUCAAGGCCAGACUGGUUAAAAAAAGUUUAAACAAUUGGUAUUUUGAAAGGUGAUGAGUUUUCUAGCUAGAUGCUCAGUUGUGUUUUUCUUUCAGGCACCAACAGAGAGA